rnacentral:rRNA from 1 species
UACGUAGGUGGCGAGCGUUGUCCGGAUUUACUGGGCGUAAAGGGAGCGUAGGCGGACUUUUAAGUGAGAUGUGAAAUACCCGGGCUCAACUUGGGUGCUGCAUUUCAAACUGGAAGUCUAGAGUGCAGGAGAGGAGAAUGGAAUUCCUAGUGUAGCGGUGAAAUGCGUAGAGAUUAGGAAGAACACCAGUGGCGAAGGCGGCUUCCUUGUCUGUAACUGACACUGAGGCGCGAAAGCGUGGGGAGCAAACAGGAUUAGAUACCCUGGUA